rnacentral:ncRNA from 1 species
GUGUUCGUAGGAAAGGAGAGAUGGUUGGCAUCUCCCCCGACAGGGACGGGAACAGCCUUCGGGCUUUACCUGUUAUCAGACACAUCCGCUUCGGUGGAUCUUAACCAAUUUUUUU